ACGAACGCUGGCGGGUGUUGCUUAAUACAUGCAAGUCGACGAUGAAGUUGCUUCGGUAACUAUCAGUGGCGGACGGCUGAGUAACCACGUAGGUAACGUGCCCUUUACUGGGGGAUAACAUCGGGAAACCGGUGCUAAUACCGCAUAAGUAAAGAGUUGAAAUACUUUUUAUUAAAGAAUUUCGGUAAGGAUCGGCCUGCGUCUGAUUAGCUAGUUGGUAGGGUAAAGGCCUACCAAGGCAAUGAUCAGUAGUUGGUCUGAGAGGAUGACCAGCCAGAGUGGGACUGAGACACGGCCCACACUUCUACGGAAGGCAGCAGUAGGGAAUUUUGCGCAAUGGGCGAAAGCCUGACGCAGCAACACCGCGUGUAGGAUGAAGGUUUUAGGAUCGUAAACUACUGUCAGCAGGGAAUAAAAUUGACUGUACCUGCAGAGGAAGCAUCGGCUAACUACGUGCCAGCAGCCGCGGUAAGACGUAGGAUGCAAGCGUUGUCCGGAAUUAUUGGGCGUAAAGAGUUCGUAGGCGGUUAUCUAAGUCUGGUGUUAAAGCCCGAAGCUCAACUUCGGCAUGGCAUUGGAAACUGGAUGGCUAGAGUGUGGUAGAGGUCUCGGAAUUCCUGGUGUAGCGGUGAAAUGCGUAGAUAUCAGGAGGAACACCGGUGGCGAAAGCGCGAGACUGGGCCAUAACUGACGCUGAGGAACGAAAGCCAGGGGAGCGAAAGGGAUUAGAUACCCCUGUAGUCCUGGCCAGUAACGAUGGAUACUAGGUGUUGGAGGAUUCGACCCCUUCAGUGCCGUAGCUAACGCGAUGAGUAUCCCGCCUGGGGAGUACGACCGCAAGGUUGAAACUCAAAGGAAUUGACGGGGGCCCGCACAAGCGGUGGAACAUGUGGUUUAAUUCGAUGCAACGCGAAGAACCUUACCUGGGCUUGACAUCUCUGGAACCUUGCGGAAACGUGAGGGUGCCUUCGGGAGCCAGAAGACAGGUGGUGCACGGUUGUCGUCAGCUCGUGUCGUGAGAUGUUGGGUUAAGUCCCGCAACGAGCGCAACCCUCGUGGUCUGUUGUUACAGGUCGUAAGUUGCUGAACCCUCAGGCCAGACUGCCGGUGACAAACCGGAGGAAGGUGGGGAUGACGUCAAAUCAUCACGCCCCUUAUGUCCAGGGCUACACACGUGUUACAAUGGGUAGUGGACAAUGGGUAGCUUGGCAGCGAUGUCCGGCAAAUCCCCUAAACCACCCCUCAGUUCGGAUCGUAGUCUGCAACUCGACUACGUGAAGUCGGAAUCGCUAGUAAACGCAGAUCAGCACGCUGCGUUGAAUACGUUCCCGGGCCUUGUACACACCGCCCGUCACACCCACGAAAGAGGGUUAUACCCGAAGUCGGUUGUCCCAACCGUAAGGAGGGAGCCGCCGCAGGUAGAAUUCUUGAUUGGGGUG
rnacentral:rRNA from 1 species